UACUAGCGAUUCCGGCUUCAUGUAGGCGAGUUGCAGCCUACAAUCCGAACUGAGAACGACUUUAUCGGGAUUAGCUCCCUCUCGCGAGUUGGCAACCGUUUGUAUCGUCCCAUUGUAGCACGUGUGUAGCCCAGGUCAUAAGGGGCAUGAUGAUUUGACGUCAUCCCCCACCUUCCUCCGGUUUGUCACCGGCAGUCACCUUAGAGUGCCCAACUAAAUGAUGGCAACUAAGAUCAAGGGUUGCGCUCGUUGCGGGACUUAACCCAACAUCUCACGACACGAGCUGACGACAACCAUGCACCACCUGUCACCGUUGCCCCCGAAGGGGAAACCAUAUCUCUACAGUGGUCAACGGGAUGUCAAGACCUGGUAAGGUUCUUCGCGUUGCUUCGAAUUAAACCACAUGCUCCACCGCUUGUGCGGGCCCCCGUCAAUUCCUUUGAGUUUCAGUCUUGCGACCGUACUCCCCAGGCGGAGUGCUUAAUGCGUUAGCUGCAGCACUAAGGGGCGGAAACCCCCUAACACUUAGCACUCAUCGUUUACGGCGUGGACUACCAGGGUAUCUAAUCCUGUUUGCUCCCCACGCUUUCGCGCCUCAGUGUCAGUUACAGACCAGAUAGUCGCCUUCGCCACUGGUGUUCCUCCAAAUCUCUACGCAUUUCACCGCUACACUUGGAAUUCCACUAUCCUCUUCUGCACUCAAGUCUCCCAGUUUCCAAUGACCCUCCACGGUUGAGCCGUGGGCUUUCACAUCAGACUUAAGAAACCACCUGCGCGCGCUUUACGCCCAAUAAUUCCGGACAACGCUUGCCACCUACGUAUUACCGCGGCUGCUGGCACGUAGUUAGCCGUGGCUUUCUAAUAAGGUACCGUCAAGGUACAGCCAGUUACUACUGUACUUGUUCUUCCCUUACAACAGAGUUUUACGAACCGAAAUCCUUCUUCACUCACGCGGCGUUGCUCCAUCAGGCUUUCGCCCAUUGUGGAAGAUUCCCUACUGCUGCCUCCCGUAGAGUCUGGGCCGUGUCUCAGUCCCAGUGUGGCCGAUCACCCUCUCAGUCGGCUACGCAUCGUCGCCUUGGUGAGCCGUUACCUCCACCAACUAGCUAUGCGCCGCGGGCCCAUCCUAUAGCGACAGCCGAAACCGUCUUUCAAUAUUUCACCAUGA
rnacentral:rRNA from 1 species